rnacentral:lncRNA from 1 species
CUAUAUGACCUAGCCUUAGGUGCCACAGAUACCUAUCAUUUAGACUAUCUCUAGGCCUUUUAAUUUUCAUGGCAUUCACAUUUUGCUCGAUAUUAAAUACAGAUACAUCAAUAUGUUGCUGAUAGAAAUCGUUAAUGAGAAAAUCAUUUAUAACUUUAUUAUUUUCAUAAAAUAUGUUACAAUGAUCCUUAUGAAAGCUAAUCACAUAGCCUUCUUGUGCUAAACAUGAAACAGAAAUC